rnacentral:rRNA from 1 species
AUACGGAGGAUCCGAGCGUUAUCCGGAUUUAUUGGGUUUAAAGGGCGCGCAGGCGGCCAUUUAAGUCAGCGGUUAAAUCGUGGGGCUCAACCCCAUUCUGCCGUUGAUACUGGGUGGCUUGAUUGCGGUCGAGGUUGGCGGAAUUCGUUGUGUAGCGGUGAAAUGCAUAGAUAUGACGAAGAACACCGAUUGCGUAGGCAGCUGACCAGAUCGCAAAUGACGCUCAUGCACGAAAGUGCGGGGAUCGAACAGGAUUAGAUACCCUGGUAGUCCGCACAGUAAACGAUGAAUACUUGUUUUCGGCGAUAUAAUGUCGGAGGCAAGGCGAAAGCGAUAAGUAUUCCACCUGGGGAGUACGCCGGCAACGGUGAAACUCAAAUGAAUUGACGGGG